UAGCUAUCAGUGGUACUCUGUUUGUUUUAGAAUUCAGUUCUGAAUUUGCGAUCUUCUAUCUCAAUGUUCAACUGCCCAUCCACAUUUUUUGGGGUAUUUUUUGUAUUAAUUCUGAAACAUGUGAUUUAAAAACUGCAUAGUUCAAUGUCCUUUAGACAGAAGUAAUUAUGUUGCCAAAAUGGCGACAAACCAGAUGAAUGCACACUGUUGCAAACAAAUCAUUUUCGACAUUUUGCCACAUGUGAAAAUUGGGCAUAAACUAAUCAUGUAAAACUAAACAUCAUGUAAUAGUAGAUUUUGUUGCUGAGCACUACACGAAGUUCCGAGUGAAGUUUCUUGCUGCUUGUAAUUUAGUUUGCCCAUUACUUAUCUGUGCAAAUCUCAUAUUACUGACAUGUCUGUCUUAAGACGCUACUGUAGGCGUCCACAGAUUAUUUUGGUGCACGGUUCUGCCGAUCCCACUGCCCACCCACCGCCCCCUCUCCUCCCCGCCAUCAACGCGAUGCCUCACUUGUUUGGAGGUUGGCAUGUGGUGGACAGGCGACGAGCGUUCUUUGGUAGCCGCUCCGGUAGAAUAGCAAGCUAUCAGUGGUACUCUGUUUGUUUGGAUCAGAGGAAGCUCACGCAGAGGUCGGAGAGGGUGAAUUCCGUGGAUCUGCAUACGACAUAGCCAUGGGGAAACAAUGGAUGGAUAGAUCAUCAAGGUUCAGGUCUUCAGAUCUGAAGCUUGGUAUGAAACAUCUAGGUAUUCAUCAAUAAAGUUUGUCUGAGUUAAUCUACUGCGAGUUCCCAGAUUAUUGGCCGACGAUAAGCUAGGUAGGUUUUCUGUGACUGCUCAUUCUUUUGCGAUGAGUGUAAUUCAUCAAGAAAUCUGAGAUUUAAAUGGGACAUUCCUCAAGAAAAAGAUGUCGGUAUUGGUAUGCAGAUUGUCGUGAUGAUUAUGGAGAUAACUCAAUUGGAAUCUAGGGAGAGAAUCAGAAAUAACACUAGAAGUUACAACACUGUAUUUUAAAGUUAUAUCCCUUAACUUGUACGAAUAUUAAUAUAUUAGUGGUCUGUUCAUGUGCCUGAUUGGAGACUGACUCUAACAUGUUUUUUUCGUUUUUGUCCCUGUGUGUAGGAUGCCAAGUGGUAGGGCUAUUUUAGCAUGUAAGUUUUAUUGAUCCUUGCUCCUUUCUUUGUCUUUGUUUUACUACAAUUACAAUAGGUAUUGACACUGUACCAUUCCAUUUAUUCGUUGCUGAUUGCUGAUGUUAUCUGCGAAUAUCAUUUUGUUUGUUUUUCAUUAACAGUUUAGCAUGCUUAGUUUACUGGUAGAGUUGUGAGUGAGCUUCCAUGCUACGCCAGAGCCACCACUGACCCUGCUAUGUAGAAGCGGGGUACAGGUGGUGAUAAAUCAAGAGAAGAAGCAGGCACAAAAAUAUAUGGACAAAGCGACUUGUAUGUAAAGGCUGACAUUACACCGAGCAACAAUGUUUAUACUUCAACAUAUUCGUAUGCCUCGGAGAAGCCUCUCCAACAAGACAAGCCGGAUGAAGAAGGUAGUCCUAUACACAUCAUAUGAAGAAGGUGAUGAUUUUUAGUGUAUUUAUUAGUGCAAACUGUUGAUGUCUCUAUUUAGGAUUUUAUUUGAUGUGGUAGGUUACGUGGACAAUUGUUUUUAGAAAGUUGUAUAGUUAAAUGCCUCAUGUGCUAUUAGUAGCUGGAGUUGGAAGGCAUCGAGAGAACCAAGGAACAUGAGCAGGUUUCGUGAGGUGAUAGAGAGGCUGGCCAAGGAUCUGUCAGAAGGACUAACUGGAUUCUUCUAGGUAAGCAUGUUCAUGUCUUACAAUGAUUCCUUUGUAUAUGAUGAGUUCUGUUUUUUAGUAUUGCUGUUUUUCAACUUCUGAAAUGCUCUUAGAAUUAAUGUCUACCAUAAUUGCUUAUUUCCAUUAGCUAAGAACAAAAAAAUCAAUUUGUAAAAACAACAGUUGCAACAGUAUAUUAGCAGAAAUACAUAAUAUUCAAAAAAAAAACAAUUAGUAUUUUUGCAUAUCAAUGUCUAAAUAAUGGAUCACAAAAGACAAAUACUUUGAUCAUUCUAUUGUAUAGCGCACUCUUGUUCACAAAACAAAUCACUUGUAGACACUGAGGUCAACCUUCCCUUACUUCCUUGCCUAUUCUUCUACUAGAUCUUUUGUCUCCUCAUAACAAACCACUGAAUCUUCAAGUAUAACAUCAGUUUUCAGUUAACAUGUUACCAUUGGUGUUUUAUCUUUCACAGAAGCUACAAAUGAGGUAGGACUCGAAUUAUCUGGCUGCAAAUCAUAUCUAUAGUGUAAAUGGCCUAGGACUCGAACUAUCUUUUAGUUCUUUUUUGUCUCUUCUGCACGAAGAUGUAGCUGAAGUUUUGUUUUAAUCUCUACUACACCAUAUGUUGGUACCGUGGGCGUCCACCACUUGGCUUCACCACGCCUCCGCCCUCGUCCUCCCGCCAAUCUCGCAGCG